CUCUCUCUCCCUUCCAUUUUAGCAAAAAUUCAGUAUCUCUUUCAACGAUGGCAGAUCCUUGCCCCCCAUUUUCGUGCAAACACCUCCUUCUCUCCUCUUCAACGAGCCUAGUCAACACAAAUGGCCAAAAUACUCUCUGAACUUUCUGAAAAGAAAUCAACUUUAGAAAUUCGAAUUUUGAAUUCAAACGGCUCCUUGAACUUAGUUUGGAGCCAAAAAUCUCGAGUUCAAACUGAAACCCUAGUCGUUUGUUUUACCUAUAAAAUACUGUCUUACAUCUUCAACAGAGGAGGAUUUUUUUUUUCGGUUGAUAGUUUACUCCAAAUUUCAUACGAUUUGAUAAGCCACUUUAGCUUACUCUUGAAUACUUCCGAUAAAGAAAAACUUUCUUGUUCGUUUCGAUCUGAGGUUCGAAUCGUUCGUCGUAGUCGAGUGUAGAUUCGAGACUCGACGCCCCGUUCACUGUACUACAAAAGGUACAGACACUCAGUUUGGUGAUGCUCCUGCUUAGGAUUUCUGCCCAGCUGCUUGGAGAGCUCCAUUGUUCCGGAGCUUGAGAUAUUUUGGUACAGAUCCUUUUGACAUAGAUUCUGCUAUAUUCUUAGAGGUCUGUAGACAUAUGUGGGUUGUGUAUAUACGGUUUGGUCAGCUAUAUCGAUGUAGUUCGUCUUGGAUGUCCCUGUGUAUAGUGGCAGCCUUGUCGGCUUGCAUAUUUGUUAUAUUUUGGUUAGUUGUGGCUCCUCAGGAGACAGGUUCUUUUUUAUGUAUAACAUGAUGAGUUCACAGCAUGCUUUUACAGAGUGCCAUAUUAUUUUCA